AAAAUCACAAACAAAUAGGAAAUGGCAUGAUUAAAUCCAAGAAAAUUCACACACAUACUAGACAUAUAAGAGAUGGAUCAUGCAAAAUUUCACAUUGAUUGGAGGUCAGGAAGCAUGUCAAAAAAAAUCAUGAACUUGCAUAUCAAUGGUGUGACACAAAUUGUCACACCCUACUUCAAAAAUUUUUAUCUAACAAACCAC
rnacentral:lncRNA from 1 species